rnacentral:rRNA from 1 species
ACCAGACUCCUACGGGAGGCAGCAGUGAGGAAUAUUGGUCAAUGGCCGAGAGGCUGAACCAGCCAAGUCGCGUGAGGGAAGACGGCCCUACGGGUUGUAAACCUCUUUUGUCGGGGAGCAAAGCGAGUCACGUGUGACUCAUUGAGAGUACCCGAAGAAAAAGCAUCGGCUAACUCCGUGCCAGCAGCCGCGGUAAUACGGAGGAUGCGAGCGUUAUCCGGAUUUAUUGGGUUUAAAGGGUGCGCAGGCGGAGGUGCAAGUCAGCGGUCAAAUUGCGGGGCUCAACCCCGGCCGGCCGUUGAAACUGGCGUGCUCGAGUUGGAGAGAAGUAUGCGGAAUUCGUGGUGUAGCGGUGAAAUGCAUAGAUAUCACGAAGAACCCCGAUUGCGAAGGCAGCAUACCGGCUCCACACUGACGCUGAGGCACGAAAGCGUGGGUAUCGAACAGGAUUAGAUACCCCCGUA